rnacentral:rRNA from 1 species
CCUACGGGAGGCAGCAGUGGGGAAUUUUCCGCAAUGGGCGAAAGCCUGACGGAGCAAUACCGCGUGAGGGAUGACGGCCUAUGGGUUGUAAACCUCUUUUUUCAGGGAGGAAAAAAAUGACGUUACCUGAAGAAUAAGCAUCGGCUAACUCCGUGCCAGCAGCCGCGGUAAGACGGGGGAUGCAAGUGUUAUCCGGAAUCACUGGGCGUAAAGCGUCUGUAGGUGGUUUAAUAAGUCAACUGUUAAAUCUUGAGGCUCAACCUCAAAACCGCAGUCGAAACUAUUAGACUAGAGUAUAGUAGGGGUAAAGGGAAUUUCCAGUGGAGCGGUGAAAUGCGUAGAGAUUGGAAAGAACACCGAUGGCGAAGGCACUUUACUGGGCUAUUACUAACACUGAGAGACGAAAGCUAGGGUAGCAAAUGGGAUUAGAUACCCUAGUAGUC